UCCGAGUUGGUGUAGUGGCUAACAUUUGGCGCUCUCAUCAUUGACCUGAUCAUCCGAUCUGUCAAGAUCCGCCAAGAUCCGCCAAGCUAGGGGUUCGAUUCCCCGAUUCGGAG